UCUUCAACAUCCUCUCAAGCAUGUCUGUUGACGAUCUGGAACAUCUGAAGAAUCGACAGACAUCGAUCGAAGGAGUUCGAUCAGCAUCGACCGUCAAAAGGGCUCUACAACGAGCUAGCACUCGUGAGGAGUCGAUCAGACCGGGAGCUUCGUGUGGAUGAUCUGCAGAGGCCAGACACGCUGUGUGGCUGCAUCGCGAUGAUCAGACUCUUUCGACGGUGAUCAGAUUGCGGCGAUCUACUACCCGCAUAAAGAUAUUGUGUUCUGAAUACAUUACAAUAAAGUAUUUAUUGUUCAAAUUCGAAUUUCAAAUUUAAAUACAUGCAUGCUAUAUAUCAUAUUUAGAUCCUAGUG
rnacentral:lncRNA from 1 species